ACCUAUUAUUUUUAUUUCUCACCGCGUGCCCUAAAACCCACGCCGACACCUCCCUUACCCGAUUCCUCCUUGCUCCGACGCCGACACACCCAGCCUCCUCUUCUCUAUCUCCUUCCAUCUCCCUCACACGAGCACCGCACGGUCGGCUUCUCUCUUCCUCCUCACGCCAGCAUCGGAGACGCACGCCACCGCACAUGGUUGUCGCAGGUCCUCUAGCCGCCAUCACUGGGAAGCAGCCGUUUGAUCCCUCAUCCCCAAACCACCGCCGGCCUAUUCUCCUCUCUUGAGCCAUCACCAUCAGCUCUUCGUCGCCGACCACCAGCUCCACUCAACGCGGUGCUCUAGCAUGUAGCCGACCCUACCUCUUCCUCUUCGUUGUUGGCGCAGAUUCAUCACAGCUCUUUACCGGAAUCGCCCCGAUCAAAGUCGCCAGCCGUAGCAAGCUCCCUAUUCCGCUUUCACCCGACGUUGCUGCCCUUUCAACCGAUCAUCCGUCGGCCACAUAUCUCGAGCCCAUCACCAAUGCCACACGCCGUUACAGAGGUUGUCUGUCAACCGGGAGUUAGCCUUCAUCGGAUCUGAGGUUGGUAACGCUUAAUUGAUUCUUGGCCUUCAUAGCUCCAACCAACACAGAUUUAGAGCCAUUUGUGGAUCCAACCAGCCUUGUCUGUGGGUGAUCCAUAGCUUGAGCCACGUACCGGCAGCAAGAACCUCUCGGCUGUGGGUUAUUAGGAGAGCUUCACUUCUACCUGCUAUUAUGGAUGGGAUUGCUUCUAUAAGUAGUUGUGGAUCAAACUAGGGGCGUUAGUUUGAGACGAGCGUCUCAACUGGGGAUUGUUUAGCUCGAUCUACAUUUAAGGCGGAUAUUUCUUGCUUUAUCUCUUUAGUAUUUUGAUCCUAGUGCAUGAGCUUUAUGUUCAGAUAGUUGCUGUAUCUAUCUUGACUCCACUCUUAUUUUUCCU